ACCGCGCGGAGGCCCAGCCCGUGGCAGUCCACGCUGGCGGCGGAGCAGAUAAAGAAGCUGAAGUAGAAACAGAUGAAGUAACUUACUCAAGGAACACAGCUAAUAAGCUCUAGAGGACAGUUACCCUGGUGCCAUUUGCCAUCUGGUCAAUCUGGUUUCCAACUGAAUUUGACUUGCCUAGCCACCGUGAACUUCUUACUGGUUUCCAGCCAUGUCAGGACCUAAAUGAAGGGUGCUUCAUCCUUUAUCCUGUAUAUGCACAUCAUGCUCUUCACAGAUGGUCUUUCCACCUUUUUACAGCAAAGUACUGCCAUCAACAACAGGGAAUUUGGGAUUCUGGGUUCAAAUUCCAGCUCUACAAUUUACUGGUUAUGUGACUUUGGGAAGGUCAUUGAAACUCUCUGAGCCUCAGCUUCUGUGUUUAUAAAAUAAAGCAAGGAUGAAAAGAGACAACAGAUAUGCAGCUACCUCUGUGCCCAGCAAGAGUUGUCAUUUGCCUGGCGAACUCCAACACCAUGCUUCAACAUGGAGUUCUGGGGAAACAAGCCCUGAGAAUCGCCAGUGACCGGGGGCUCACUUCUUCCCAUGCAAGUGUCUGCGUGGUUGAUAGAAAGUUGCCAUCGCAUUGCAGCAAAACUGACUUCCACCAGCAGAUGCCAAGAAGUGAGCACGCCCCACUUCUGUCACACUGUUUAGGGGAGAUAGACCAUCUGCUG